GGGAUGCAGGGAGUAUAGAGAGUGUAUUAGCACAGAAGCCUAAUGUGUGGGUGUGUGAUAAAGUCAUGGCAGUUAUUCAUUAUUCAUUUUAUUUAUAUAUAUUUGGAUAGAGAGAUAGACUGAAUUUUUAAAAUGGAGAUAGGGUCUCACUAUGUUCCCCAGGCUGAACUCAUACUCCUGGGCUCAAGGGAUGCUCCUCCCUCAGCCUAUGGAGUAGUCAGGAAUAUAGGAGCUGGCCACCAUUCCUGGCAGUUUGUUUCAUUUUAAUUUAAUUUGAGGUCAUCCCCCAGGCCAUAAGAGAAGAGAUGGGAGAAUAGAAGAACAAAAUGUAGACAUAUACUCCCUUCUUUCUAUUCUCAUUUCACCAUCAUACAAUAUCCCCUUGGUUUUUGUUUUAAUAAUUGUUCUGCCACAGUUAAUUACACAUUCACUAGUGUGUUUCCACUAUCAAACGUACUUCUUCGGUAUACUGUGGAAAUUAACAAACGCUUGUUAACAGAAAAAAAACACCCAGAGGGAUCUCGUCCCAGACAAUCUAGAGGAAAAGAGGGGAAGCGAGAAAGAGACAGAGACCUACUAACGUGGCUAACGAUCCCGCGAAAAGGGAACAGGGGUCCCACGCACGGGAUUGAGCCUCCUAUCAAGCCCAGCAGGCUCCGACGGGCUGCGCUGAGUGCGGGACUUGCC
rnacentral:lncRNA from 10 species